UCCAUGUUGGAGUAGCAAGGUAGCUCAGAAUCCAGAGUGAAAUGCUGAGGAAUGCUAAGUGCUGGCAGCAACCCCUAUGAAGCCUGUUGGCAACACAUUCCAUGCAGCCAAACUGUUGUGUCAAGGGAACGCUCCCUUGGCUGACAAACUGCAGGCUGGUCAGGCCUGAAAGGUCAGACCCAGAAGUGACACUGCAAGGACCUAAUGGUAUUUGUUUCCAGUCUUCUAAGCAAAGGAGAAGACAUUUGCACUUCUGAGUUUGACGAGGAAACAUGCUCAUGCCUAGUGCUGCUAUUCAACUCAGGUCUGCUGCACAGGGGCUUCCAUGUGGUGUUUCUGGAAAAGCAACGCCUGGAAGAAGAUGGCUCUAGAAGGAACAAGACAACAACAAGGAUUCAAGGAACAAACCAAAGUGAUGAUACCACAGCCUGGAACAUUUCUUUGGCCAUCUGGGUUUGCCUGUCCCAGAUGUGUCCCCUCCCAGUUUCUUGCGCAUCCCUAUCCUCCUCAUUGGUGUCAUCAACACUGUUUCCAGCACAAAUUCACAACACAGCCCCAUAGUAGCUACUGAAAAGAAAAUUGACUCUGCCCUGGCCAUACCCAGCACACCACUCUACCCAGCACUUGUGAGGCCACAUCUGGAGCACUGUGCCCACCUCUGGGCUCCCCAGUACAAUAGGAAAUGAAGAAGACAAAGACAGACUCUUCUCAGUAGACCCCACUGAAUACCUUUGGCAUAAAUUAAAGCACAUGGAAUUUCAUCUAAA